AACGAACGCUGGCGGCAGGCUUAACACAUGCAAGUCGAGCGCCCCGCAAGGGGAGCGGCAGACGGGCGAGUAACGCGUGGGAAUCUCCCCAUCUCUACGGAAUAACGCAUGGAAACGUGUGCUAAUACCGUAGAUGUCCUCAGGGAGAAAGAUUUAUCGGAGAUGGAUGAGCCCGCGUUGGAUUAGCGAGUUGGUGGGGUAAAGGCCUACCAAGGCGACGAUCCAUAGCUGGUCUGAGGGGAUGAUCAGCCACACUGGGACUGAGACACGGCCCAGACUCCUACGGGAGGCAGCAGUGGGGAAUAUUGGACAAUGGGCGCAAGCCUGAUCCAGCCAUGCCGCGUGAGUGAUGAAGGCCCUAGGGUUGUAAAGCUCUUUCACCGGUGAAGAUAAUGACGGUAACCGGAGAAGAAGCCCCGGCUAACUUCGUGCCAGCCGCCGCGGUAACAC
rnacentral:rRNA from 1 species